UGACUUAUUAAGAGCUCCGUUAAAAAACGAUGAAAUAAGUCUGUUUUUCUGAGUAAAAGUAAGUUUUAUUAAUGUGCCAUGUUUCAGAGAUCCUCUUACAAUAAUUAUCAAAGACUUUUGUGGUGAUAUUGAUUUGUUUUAGUUGAGUUAUUUCAACUCUCCAUGUUUUUAUGCUUUUCUAGCUGAGUUUUAGCUUCAUCAUUUGUUGUCGUGGUGUAGCUGACUUCACCAACAGUUAGCUUGAUUUUCUUCUCUCUGUUUAAGUAAAUACUGGAGCUUACUACCAAAGAAGUGGCUGUGACAGAGACCUACAUUUUAUAUACAUGUUAAAUGUUUGGCCUGUCUGCAUUAUCCUGUCCCUGUGUGAAUGUUAAAGCUGUUAACCACCAAAGUGUCUGUGUGAGCGUGCUCAUUUUUCUUCUGUUAUUAUCAGAAUAAACGGCUGCUGGUGCCAAAAGUGAGUUUUUAUACCUGGUUCAUCACAACACAAUGCUCCAGGAAUUCUUUCACUGAUCCCGAAGAAAAUACAAGAGUUUAUUUUUCAUUCACCGUAUUCUAAGAUAUUUCUCUAAACAUAAACGACACCAUCUGUGCUGUGCUUUGGUCAAAAUAAAACAUGAAUCAAG